rnacentral:lncRNA from 1 species
AUGGACGCCCGAAGUCGCCGAGGGGUGAGUGCGGGGCGGGGGCUCCGCGCGGGGCCGGGCGGGGUCCGUGUCCCGCAGCCCCCCCGGGGCGGGCGGCGCGGUUCGGGGUCUCCCCGGGUCACCCACCCGUGCAGCCCCGCGGGACCCCGGCAGGCGGGGGGCGCGGUGGGGUGGGAGCCCGUGUGGGGACCCUCUGUGGAUGCGUGUGCGGGGACGCGCACGAGGCGCGCUCCCGCCGCUCGGCCGAGCCGGGGGUCUCGGGGUACGGAACCCACGGCAGGGGCACGGCCGCGGUGGGUGCGGGUGGGUGCCCCACGCGUGUGCGGGGCUGCUACAGGGGCGUUUCAUGUGACGGCUGAUACAGGUGUGGGGGUCGUGUCGCUGAUCCCCCCCCGAGCAGGGGUGCGAGGGUGGGCUCUGCCUGUCGGGGGGGGUGUGUGGGAUCGAGUGUGUGGUGUGUGCGUGUGCGGGGUGCGUGUGCGUGUUUGCACACGUGUGUUUGUGUGUACACACGUGCGCAGGGGCGUGUGCCCGGGGCCGUGCCGGAGGCCCGGGGGUGAGGCCGGGGCCGGGGGUAGCAGCACUGCGGCUGCGGCGGGGGGGCUGCCGGGGGAGGGUCCUGCCGGGUCACGCCGGGAUUUAUGGCUGCGGCAGGGCUUGCAGGCUGGGGAGGCCACCUGCCCGUCCCCUGCCCGCCCCCCGCUUGGUGCCCCCGCCGCCCCCAGCCCCCCGUCCCCCCGGGCAGAUGCUCCUCUCUCCCGGCUCCCCGUUAAUCCAACGGCACAAGGCGGUGCCGGGCGGGAGCAUCUGCCUCUCCCCAGUGCCCGGCGCUGCCGCCACUGCAGCAGCCCAGACGCGUGCGACAGGCACCCUGGCACUGCCGGGGGGUCCCUCGGGGUCCCCUCCCUCCGCCAGGCCCCGGUGACAGCCAGUGUCCCAUCUCCCUGUCCCGGUACCCUGGGCCUUGGCAGUCCUUUGCUGGGGGGCCGGGACCCCCAGCGCCCGAGUGCGAGGUCAGGGUCAGGGUCAGCGCAGUGA